GAUGAACGCUGGCGGCGUGCCUAAUACAUGCAAGUCGAGCGAACGGACGAGAAGCUUGCUUCUCUGAUGUUAGCGGCGGACGGGUGAGUAACACGUGGAUAACCUACCUAUAAGACUGGGAUAACUUCGGGAAACCGGAGCUAAUACCGGAUAAUAUUUUGAACCGCAUGGUUCAAAAGUGAAAGACGGUCUUGCUGUCACUUAUAGAUGGAUCCGCGCUGCAUUAGCUAGUUGGUAAGGUAACGGCUUACCAAGGCAACGAUGCAUAGCCGACCUGAGAGGGUGAUCGGCCACCCUGGAACUGAGACACGGUCCAGACUCCUACGGGAGGCAGCCGUAGGGAAUCUUCCGCAAUGGGCGAACGCCUGACGGAGCAACGCCGCGUGAGUGAUGAAGGUCUUCGGAUCGUAAAACUCUGUUAUUAGGGAAGAACAUAUGUGUAAGUAACUGUGCACAUCUUGACGGUACCUAAUCAGAAAGCCACGGCUAACUACGUG
rnacentral:rRNA from 1 species